rnacentral:rRNA from 1 species
UACGGGGGGGGCUAGCGUUGUUCAGAAUUACUGGGCGUAAAGGGCGCGUAGGCGGCCUACUAAGCCGGACGUGAAAUCCCUCGGCUCAACCGGGGAACUGCGUCCGAUACUGGUGGGCUCGAAUCCGGGAGAGGGAUGUGGAAUUCCAGGUGUAGCGGUGAAAUGCGUAGAUAUCAUUUGGAACGCCAAUGGUGAAAACAGCUCGCUGGGGGUUUGCUGACGCUGAGACACGAAAGCCAGGGGAGCAAACGGG